CAUUGUAGUAUUAUUUUCAGUUUGUUUAUUUUGUCCACCCUCCAAGAUAAGACGUGCAAGAGACAUAGUUUCUGUAAUAGCCACUGCUGUAAAAACACUGAAGACUACUUGUUUGCCAAACCUAAACCAAACCCCCAAAAAACUGAAAAAAGCACCCUGAAAAUCAUCCAGUUGAAUAGAAAGACUGCUCAUUACAGUGUUCCAGAUCACCACUGCAGUUACCCUGUGCAAGUCACCCCAAGUCGUUUCAUCAGCUGAUGAAAUGCAGUUCCUCUGAAGCACAACGUAGGAGUUGCACAAAUCCUCCUGUCAUCAGCUGCCCUGCCCACAAAAAUAUACAUCACCCCUGCUUGGUGCAUUUGAAGACAAACAUCUGAUGGGUCAAUUUGCCCAGAGUUUUAUGCUCCCUUAGUCAGGUACGUGGUGGCACCUCUCAGGGCCCACAUGG
rnacentral:lncRNA from 1 species